GUGAAGGUUAAGAUACGCGGAGCAGCCAUCUACCCUGAGGCAAUUGAUAGGAGGUGGGGCGGGGAUCAUAGAUUGCAGCGAAAAUAGAGGUAGAAGAAAAAACUACAACAAGGAAGAGAAGAAAGAACUGGGAAAAUAACAAGGAACAAGAGAAAAGACCAAUUAUGAAAGCACCCACAAUCUGAUUCGAAGAAUGGAAGUGGCAGGAAGGCGAAGGGUUUCAUACAGGAAGAAGCAACACCAUCGCAUCUCAAUCAAGGAGUCCCACAGACAUGAUUCUUCUUCAGUGCCCCGUUCCAUCUGCUCAGCUUUUGAAUACCUUAUUUGUAUUGUUGUUUUGUCAACAAUGCAGCACAAUACUUGCAUGCAUCAUUGGUCCCUGUCAUAUAAGAUGAUAUAUACUUUCCCAUGACUAAGGAAAUGAAAAGAAUCCAAAUAUUAA